UAGGGAAUCUUCGGCAAUGGACGAAAGUCUGACCGAGCAACGCCGCGUGAGUGAAGAAGGUUUUCGGAUCGUAAAACUCUGUUGUUAGAGAAGAACAAGGAGGUUAGUAACUGAACGUCCCCUGACGGUAUCUAACCAGAAAGCCACGGCUAACUACGUGCCAGCAGCCGCGGUAAUACGUAGGUGGCAAGCGUUGUCCGGAUUUAUUGGGCGUAAAGCGAGCGCAGGCGGUUUCUUAAGUCUGAUGUGAAAGCCCCCGGCUCAACCGGGGAGGGUCAUUGGAAACUGGGAGACUUGAGUGCAGAAGAGGAGAGUGGAAUUCCAUGUGUAGCGGUGAAAUGCGUAGAUAUAUGGAGGAACACCAGUGGCGAAGGCGGCUCUCUGGUCUGUAACUGACGCUGAGGCUCGAAAGCGUGGGGAGCAAACAGG
rnacentral:rRNA from 1 species